CGCCCAGUAGCCCUUCUCCCUUCUCCCACCCAACCACGCCCAGCAGCACUUCUCCCUUCUUCCCAUCGCCGACGCACAGCCAGGAGCCUUCGUCGUCGCUCCGCCAUUGGCCACCGCCACACCGCACCGCCCCUUCUUUCCGAGGUCUCCGCUGCCCAGCCAUAGCCACAGCAUCGCACAGCCUCCGCCGCCACUCUGCCACACAUAGACAAGCCGCCGACGAAGAGCCGCACCGCCAACGCACCUACAGCCGCGAGGAGAUGCAGACAGUGCUCUUGAUAGGCUCUGGCAGAAGAAGAAAGUCGAAGCCCGCCAACAGUAAUGUCUUUUGGUGGUCGUGUUUUAUGUGGUUUACUAUUAGCUUAUCUGAGCAUUGUUGGGAACUAGUAUUUGGUUUUAUAACGUUGUACACUCUAAUGUAUAUUAAGUUAUCUAAUAGCUCUUUUGAAUGUGAUGGUGUUAUUUAUGCCUAAUACAGCUCAAAGAAUUACAAUCUUGAGAGGAAACCAUGAAAGACGUCAGGCCGGCCACCAUGGUUUACUUUGUUGAUGGUUCUUCAUUCAGAAAGAAGGGCUUUGGAAUCAGCAAGCCAAAAUGGUUAUUUUUUAAAACAUGAAGGACGUCUCGUAGUCAUUUAAAACUCGGAUGAUCACAGCUAGUAAACUCCUAAUACUCGGAGGACCAUUGGAGGUGGUGAAGGUAGUGGUGGAAGUUGAGUGGAGAGGAGGCUGAGAUCCAAGCAAGGAGGAGGAACACGAAAAGGGAAGAAGGAGCCAACUGUUGCACACAGAAGGUGCACCAGUAAACUCAACGGAGCUAGGCAACGAACCACGCCAUGGUCCGUUGGCUAGCCUCGUUAAGGGACGGCCCUUGGCAACGGGCCAUGGCAUGGUUCGUUGCCAGGCACCGCUACUUGGCGGAGCCAAGUGGCGGGGCUUCCCAAGCCCCGCCACCAAGCUCCGCUAAGUUAUACUAUGUACUGACCGGGCCCUUUGAGGCUCAACUACGCGUUGUUCGGACUGGGACUCGUGGGCCCUUGAGGCUUGGAUACUCAGGCUCGUUAUAAUGCACUUGUAGAAAUUUGUUUCAUUGAUUUUGGAGUUGUAAAGCAUGAUUUAUAGAUGUUCUUGUGAAGAUUAU